rnacentral:rRNA from 1 species
UACGUAGGGUGCAAGCGUUGUCCGGAAUUAUUGGGCGUAAAGAGCUCGUAGGCGGUUUGUCGCGUCUGCCGUGAAAGUCCGGGGCUCAACUCCGGAUCUGCGGUGGGUACGGGCAGACUAGAGUGAUGUAGGGGAGACUGGAAUUCCUGGUGUAGCGGUGAAAUGCGCAGAUAUCAGGAGGAACACCGGUGGCGAAGGCGGUUCUCUGGGCAUGAUCUGACGCUGAGGAGCGAAAGUGUGGGGAGCGAACAGG